UAAUGACGAGACGCUAAGGCGUUGAAGCAGUGUAUGUCAGACUUCCAAGAAAAGCUCGCAAUGUCACAAAUGAAAAAUGCCUGUACCAUAACCGACACAGGUGGGUAGGUAGAGUAUACUAAGGGGCGCGAGAUAACUCUCUCUAAGGAACUCGGCAAAAUGACUCCGUAACUUCGGGAGAAGGAGUGCCUUAUUUAUAAGGUUGCAAUAACAAGAUCCAAGCAACUGUUUAUCAAAAACACAGGUCUCCGCUAAGUCGUAAGACGAUGUAUGGGGGCUGACGCCUGCCCAGUGCCAGAAGGUUAAAGAAGUUGGUUAGUGUAUGCGAAGCUGAUGACUGAAGCCCUGGUGAACGGCGGCCGUAACUAUAACGGUCCUAAGGUAGCGAAAUUCCUUGUCGGGUAAGUUCCGACCCGCACGAAAGGCGUAAUGAUUUGGAUACUGUCUCGGAGAGAGGCUCGGUGAAAUAGACUUGUCUGUGAAGAUGCGGACUACCUGCACCAGGACAGAAAGACCCUAUGAAGCUUUACUGUAACUUGAAAUUGGAAUUGGACUUUGCUUGCGCAGUAUAGGUGGGAAGCGUUGAAAAUAUUCUUGCGGGAGUAUUGGAGCUAUCAGUGAGAUACCACUCUUGUAAUGUUAGAUUUCUAACUUUGAACCAUAAUCUGGUCAAAGAACAGCUUCAGGUGGGCAGUUUGACUGGGGCGGUCGCCUCCCAAAUGGUAACGGAGGCGUACAAAGGUUUCCUCUGAACGGAUAGAAAUCCUAUCUAGAGUGUAAAGGCAUAAGGAAGCUUGACUGUGAGACCUACAAGUCGAGCAGGGACGAAAGUCGGUCUUAGUGAUCUGACGGUACUGAGUGGAAAGGCCGUCACUCAACGGAUAAAAGUUACUCUAAGGAUAACAGGCUGAUCUCCCCCAAGAGUUCACAUCGACGGGGAGGUUUGGCACCUCGAUGUCGGCUCAUCGCAUCCUGGGGCGGUAGUACGUCCCAAGGGUUGGGCUGUUCGCCCAUGAAAGCGGUACGCGAGCUGGGUUCAGAACGUCGUGAGACAGUUCGGUCCAUAUCCGGUGUAGGCGCUAGAAUAUUGAGAGGAGCCUUCUUUAGUACGAGAGGACCGAGAAGGACACACCGCUGGUGUACCAGUUAUCGUGCCAACGGUAAACGCUGGGUAGCUAUGUGUGGAGUGGAUAACCGCUGAAAGCAUCUAAGUGGGAAGCCCACCUCGAGAUGAGUAUUCAC
rnacentral:rRNA from 1 species